rnacentral:rRNA from 1 species
GACGAACGCUGGCGGCGUGCUUAACACAUGCAAGUCGAACGAAGAGCGACGGAAGCUUGCUUCUCUCAAUCUUAGUGGCGAACGGGUGAGUAACGCGUAAUCAACCUGCCCUUCAGAGGGGGACAACAGUUGGAAACGACUGCUAAUACCGCAUACGAUCUAACCUCGGCAUCGAGGAUAGAUGAAAGGUGGCCUCUACAUGUAAGCUAUCACUGAAGGAGGGGAUUGCGUCUGAUUAGCUAGUUGGAGGGGUAACGGCCCACCAAGGCGAUGAUCAGUAGCCGGUCUGAGAGGAUGAACGGCCACAUUGGGACUGAGACACGGCCCAGACUCCUACGGGAGGCAGCAGUGGGGAAUCUUCCGCAAUGGACGAAAGUCUGACGGAGCAACGCCGCGUGAGUGAUGACGGCCGUCGGGUUGUAAAGCUCUGUUAAUCGGGACGAAAGGCCUUCUUGCGAAUAGUGAGAAGGAUUGACGGUACCGGAAUAGAAAGCCACGGCUAACUACGUG